UACGUAUGGAGCGAGCGUUGUCCGGAAUUAUUGGGCGUAAAGGGUACGCAGGCGGUUUAAUAAGUCGAAUGUUAAAGAUCGGGGCUCAACCCCGUAAAGCAUUGGAAACUGAUAAACUUGAGUAGUGGAGAGGAAAGUGGAAUUCCUAGUGUAGUGGUGAAAUACGUAGAUAUUAGGAGGAAUACCAGUGGCGAAGGCGACUUUCUGGCAAUCAUCAGACGCUGAGGUACGAAAGCGUGGGUAGCAAACAGG
rnacentral:rRNA from 1 species